GACGAACGCUGGCGGCGUGCUUAACACAUGCAAGUCGAACGGAAAGGCCCUGCUUUUGUGGGGUGCUCGAGUGGCGAACGGGUGAGUAACACGUGAGUAACCUGCCCUUGACUUUGGGAUAACUUCAGGAAACUGGGGCUAAUACCGGAUAGGAGCUCCUGCUGCAUGGUGGGGGUUGGAAAGUUUCGGCGGUUGGGGAUGGACUCGCGGCUUAUCAGCUUGUUGGUGGGGUAGUGGCUUACCAAGGCUUUGACGGGUAGCCGGCCUGAGAGGGUGACCGGCCACAGUGGGAGUGAGAUACGGCCCAGAAUCCUACGGGAGGCAGCAGUGGGGAAUAUUGCACAAUGGGCGGAAGCCUGAUGCAGCAACGCCGCGUGCGGGAUGACGGCCUUCGGGUUGUAAACCGCUUUCGCCUGUGACGAAGCGUGAGUGACGGUAAUGGGUAAAGAAGCACCGGCUAACUACGUGCCAGCAGCCGCAGUAA
rnacentral:rRNA from 1 species